rfam:Triticum aestivum genome assembly, contig: Triticum_aestivum_CS42_TGACv1_scaffold_226125_3B
UGUGUACUCCCUCCGUUCCAAAAUACUUGACUUCUAUUUGUCCAAAAAUGGAUGCACCUAUAUACUAAAACAUGUCUAGAUACAUAUAUAUUUUGAUAAAUAAGAAGGCAUGUAUUGUGCAACGGAGGGAGUAGAAU